rnacentral:misc_RNA from 1 species
UUUCCGUAGGUGAACCUGCGGAAGGAUCAUUAAAAAUGAAGCCGGGAAACCGGUCCUUCUAACCCUUGAUUAUCUUAAUUUGUUGCUUUGGUGGGCCGCGCAAGCACCGGCUUCGGCUGGAUCGUGCCCGCCAGAGGACACAACUCUGUAUCAAAUGUCGUCUGAGUACUAUAAAAUAGUUAAAACUUUCAACAACGGAUCUCUUGGUUCUGGCAUCGAUGAAGAACGCAC